rnacentral:rRNA from 1 species
AUUGAACGCUGGCGGCAUGCCUUACACAUGCAAGUCGAACGGCAGCGGACCUUCGGGUGCCGGCGAGUGGCGAACGGGUGAGUAAUAUAUCGGAACGUACCUUUCAGUGGGGAGUAACGUAGCGAAGUUAACGUCAAUACCGCAUAUUCUGUGAGCAGGAAAGCAGGGGAGUCGCAAGACCUUGCGCUGAUUGAGCGGCCGAUAUCAGAUUAGCUAGUUGGUGAGGUAAAGGACUCACCAAGGCGACGAUCUGUAGCGGGUCGUGAGAGGAUGAUCCGCCACACUGGAACUGAGACACGGUCCAGACUCCUACGGGAGGGCAGCAGUGGGGAAG